UACGAAGGGGGCUAGCGUUGCUCGGAAUUACUGGGCGUAAAGCGCACGUAGGCGGUCUUUUAAGUCGGGGGUGAAAUCCUGGAGCUCAACUCCAGAACUGCCUUCGAUACUGGAAGACUUGAGUCCGGGAGAGGUGAGUGGAACUGCGAGUGUAGAGGUGAAAUGCGUAGAUAUCGGGAGGAACACCAGUGGCGAAGGCGGCUUCCUGGCCUGUUCUUGACGCUGAGGCGCGAAAGCUAGGGGAGCAAACGGG
rnacentral:rRNA from 1 species